rnacentral:rRNA from 1 species
GAGUUUGAUCCUGGCUCAGGAUGAACGCUGACAGAAUGCUUAACACAUGCAAGUCUAUUCGAGCCUUCGGGCAAGGAUGGCGGACGGGUGAGUAACGCGUAAAGAACUUGCCCUGCAGUUCGGGACAACAUUCGGAAACGGAUGCUAAUACCGGAUAUUAUGCUCGGAUCGCAUGAUCUGAGUAUGAAAGCUAUAUGCGCUGCAGGAGAGCUUUGCGUCCUAUUAGUUAGUUGGUGAGGUAACGGCUCACCAAGACAGCGAUAGGUAGCCGGCCUGAGAGGGUGAACGGCCACAAGGGGACUGAGACACGGCCCUUACUCCUACGGGAGGCAGCAGUGGGGAAUAUUGGACAAUGGACCAAAAGUCUGAUCCAGCAAUUCUGUGUGCACGAUGAAGUUUUUCGGAAUGUAAAGUGCUUUCAGUUGGGACGAAGAACGUGACGGUACCAACAGAAGAAGCGACGGCUAAAUACGUG